UUUGGAAUUUUAAUUGACUCUUUAGUAUUCCUAGGGGUUAUUAAUGUUGUUGGUUUAAUAAUAAUUUCAAAUUCCCAACCUCUAAAAUCCAACAGCCAGGCGGCUGGAUUUUUUGGGGGUAACCUAACAGUCUUUUAUUUAUUUAUUAUUAUUGUUAUUAUUUUGGUUUUAUUUCCUUUAAAUUUCUUUGUUCCAAUCCUUU
rnacentral:lncRNA from 1 species